UACGGGGGGGGCAAGCGUUGUUCGGAAUUACUGGGCGUAAAGGGUUCGUAGGUGGCCUGCUAAGUCAGACGUGAAAUCCCUCGGCUCAACCGGGGAACUGCGUCUGAGACUGGCGGGCUCGAGGACAGGAGAGGAACGCGGAAUUCCAGGUGUAGCGGUGAAAUGCGUAGAUAUCUGGAGGAACACCGGUGGCGAAGGCGGCGUUCUGGACUGUUUCUAACACUGAGGAACGAAAGCCAGGGGAGCAAACGGG
rnacentral:rRNA from 1 species